rnacentral:misc_RNA from 1 species
UCCGGUUUGACACCGGCAGUCCCCCCAGAGUUCCCAGCAUUACCUGUUGGCAACAGAGGAUGAGGGUUGCGCUCGUUGCGGGACUUAACCCAACAUCUCACGACACGAGCUGACGACAGCCAUGCAGCACCUGUGCUGGCUCCCCUUGCGAGGUCAUCCCCGUUUCCGGUUCUUACCACCAGCAUGUCAAACCUGGGUAAGGUUCUUCGCGUUGCGUCGAAUUGAACCACAUGCACCACCGCUUGUGCAGGCCCCCGUCAAUUUCUUUGAGUUUUAACCUUGCGGCCGUACUCCCCAGGCGGAUGACUUAACGCGUUAGCUGCGCCACCGAAACGCUAAGCGCCCCGACAGCUAGUCAUCAUCGUUUACGGCGUGGACUAC